GAGUACUCUAUAGUGCCUAACAAGAUUUUGUGAGGUAGACGAAAUUGACUUUAAAACGAUCGUAUUGACUUUUGAUGUUCAGAAAUAGGCAGAUCGAACAUAUUUUGACUUUAUUUACUGACUUCUUAAGUUUGGGAUUAAUUGUAAUUAACACUUUCCAAUGAGACUGACAAAUGCUUUUUUUUGUUAUGAUAAAUAAUAAUUUUACCUGCCGUAGUCGUGCGUAAAAUAUAUUUCGGCAUUUCUCUUAAGAAAUGACUUGUUUAAUGGAAAAAAACG
rnacentral:lncRNA from 1 species